rnacentral:rRNA from 1 species
UGGGGAAUAUUGCACAAUGGGCGAAAGCCUGAUGCAGCGACGCCGCGUGAGGGAUGACGGCCUUCGGGUUGUAAACCUCUUUCAGUAGGGACGAAGCGCAAGUGACGGUACCUGCAGAAGAAGCACCGGCUAACUACGUGCCAGCAGCCGCGGUAAUACGUAGGGUGCGAGCGUUGUCCGGAAUUACUGGGCGUAAAGAGCUCGUAGGCGGUUUGUCACGUCGUCUGUGAAAUCCUAGGGCUUAACCCUGGACGUGCAGGCGAUACGGGCUGACUUGAGUACUACAGGGGUGACUGGAAUUUCUGGUGUAGCGGUGGAAUGCACAGAUAUCAGGAAGAACACCGAUGGCGAAGGCAGGUCUCUGGGUAGUAACUGACGCUGAGGAGCGAAAGCAUGGGUAGCGAACAGG